CCACAAACACGGAGAAUGGAGGACAGACUUGUUGUUGCCGUUUGCCAGUGCCCACUAGUUUAUAAUGUGACAUUGGCAUAUUAUAGAGAACGGGACAAAAAGGACCUUGCCUGGAGGAUCUUGGUGGAGCUUGGUGUGUCUGGACAGAACCAGUUGGAAAUAACCUGCAAGUGGACUCCCACCUCCUAGAUCUGUCUGCUGCUGCUGCUUCUUCAGGGCAGAGUGGCCCUUCUGCUGCACCCACUGGCCUCCCACCACGGAGGAGACCAAAGAAGAGGUCCAUGGAGUCAUCGCCCUCCAGCUUCAAGAGAGAGCUACUGGUAGCACUGGGACUGACCUCCUUCUCCUCCUCCUGCUCAGUCGGAGAAUGAGCACUUUUUGUUGUCUCUGCUUCCUCUCCUGCAGAAGGUGCCACCUCAUUGUAAGGACUAAGAAAAUUUAGAUUAUAUAAAAACGCUGCAGUUUCUUUACAUUUGGAGCCUACUGUGUUGAUUGAGAGUGGUACCUUCUACAGGGGAGGAAACAGACUCUCCUUUCUCCUCUACUUCAUAUGUUUCCUCACUUCCCCCGCCCCUCCUCCAGACAAGGUCCUUUCAUAAUAAACAAAAAUAUGUAAAUAGUUACUUUUUUUUUGUUAAUAUUUGUUUUAUAAAUUUUGAUUUUGUAAUUUUGUAAAAUAAAAUAUAUAAAUUUGAUUAUAAAAUGUUUGUUUUUUAUACAUCAUGCACCAUUUGUCUACUACUAUGUAGUUUGUAAGGUAAUUUUUGUUGUUAAUCAGUAAUUGUCAACAAAAUGUAUACCAUAUUUAUAUAUCUAAAAGCUUACCUCAUUUACCAAUUGAAGACCAUAAAUAAAACAUCAAAAAAGCACAGACAAGAGUUAAGUAAAUCUGUAUGUUUUAUUAAUUUUCCUGUGUAACCUGGUAAUUAGGGUCAGUCUUGAAUGGAAAUAUUGUGAUGAACCUGAAGCCACAGUCAGCAGCACAGUCCUGUACCUGUUUGCAGCUAGUACCUGCAAACAAGAAACCGCACAAGAAUAUACAAUCUUAAAAUUUGGUAGCUUAAUAUUUGCUAAGUAAAUAAAUAUAAUGAAUCAUAACCAUAGACAAUGUUAAGGUCUUUAUAGUUAAGUGGGUGGCUCUUAUUAUUAUUAUUAUUAUUAUUAUUAUUAUUUAUGUGUAUAUUCUAUAACACUGGUUUCACACAAAUACAACAACAGUAGACUUAUUUGCAGUAGCAAGAAUAGAUAACUCAAAAUGAUUAACACAUUUCUAAGCUACUUUUAAUUGCUAAUACCUGAAUACAAAAUAAGUUAUUAUUAUUGCACUUAGAACCUGUUCAUCUGUCUUCGCUAACCGAAGACAGAUGAACAGGUGCUCCGCAGCUGGAAUCAAGCGCCUGUAGUUGAUGUCCUGGGAUGUUAUCCGCGCACCAAUGCAAGACAGCAGGUCAUCGAACUGGGCCUGGGAUAGACAAAAGUACCGCUGGAAGCCGUGGUCAUCCAGACGGAGCUCCUAGAGCAACUGAUGAAACCCGCCAAACUAGACGUUCAGAGUUUGGGGAGUUUCAUCAGUUAAAAUAAAUUAUAUCAUGGACCCAGACACGCCACCACCGAGCCGAUUGCCUCCGUUGAUGACUUCUGUGCAAUAAAUACACCAAAGACACUCUCUCAACUUGGUCUGCCAUUGUACACAAAAAGACCGGAAAAACAUUCGCAGACGCUCUCGAUGCGUGUCAUCUGGAGAGUGUCCAAGAUGCUUCUCGUAGGCGUCUGCCCUCAAAUGUACAGGCGUCCAAAUAGAGGUGUCCAGCAUGUCCUUGAUGCCCCAGUUUUGAAUGCACCAUAAGAGGCAACUGCUGUUGUGAUUUGGGGCUUUACAAAAAUAAAUUGAUUUGAAUUUUACAAAGAAAUUAGCCCAUAGAGUUUGUACACAGAUUUCAACCAGGUGCUAGGGUUGUCAAAAUUGAGAUACUUUUUGAUACUAAAACUAGUAUCAAAUCUAGAUACUUUUGGGCUGGUAUUGAUACAAACAAUACCACAUUCACAGGACAGGAAAAUAACCUUUCCUGAAUAGCUUUAGAAUGAUCUUAAGCUGCAUCAGAACACUUACAAAACCACAUAUAGGUAGUAUAUGGCUAUGGAUUACAAUGGAACCUGGACGACUGAGAUAUUACAUGGGUAUAAAGCUACAAGAGAAUGUAAAAGACAUUCUAUUGUCUAAAGAAACAAGUUUGAAAUUGUAGUGUCGUGACAACCCUACCAGGUAACUGCAAUUAUGACCAAUUAAAAGCUAAAAUUGUGUCCUUUUUUUAAAAAAAAAAGAUGGCAGAAGUUUGAGCAGCCAUUUUAGCUUGUCACCUUCUGAAUAAACCUUUUAUAACUUUGUCGUGCAUUAGUUAACAGGUGUGUGGGUGCAUCUCUUACAUAGCUAAUUAUUAAACUCAUUAUAAAGUUCUACAUUCCAUCAUGAAUAGAUUUUUAACAUGGUGAGUACAGUGUCAAGCAAUUAUUUUUGUAUUAGUGGAAUUUCAAAAAUACAUACUAUAGUUUCUUGCUCGUGUUUAUAAUAAUCACAUAUACGUACUACAACUUGGUACUAGUUAACCACCAAUAGAAUAUAAUAGAUUUUAUUUUAUUCUAACUAGUGGCAUUUCACAGGAACAAACAGUGAAUGUUGUCAAUUUGUGCAUGGCUUGGAGUUUGAAUUUUUAUUGACUCUAUUUGACGCUGCCCACUUUUGCUGUAAAUGCUUCUAAAUCAUGCAGGGGCCACUUUAACUGGGAAUCCCAUUCAGAAAAUUUUUUGUGGGGUUUGGGAAAAAGUUUUGCCCCAAAAAUAUAAUUGGCAGCCCCGUGCAAAAUAACAUAACCUAGUGAUGCAGCACCCACAGCAACUUUCAGAAUAAGGUAAAUUAGAAACACAGUUCUGUACAGAGCUGCUGGCGUGGAUAGGUGAUACAUGGAAGUGGAAUGAGCACAUUCUCCUUGAAUGCAGAACUGAAUACAGCAUUACUCAAACAUGCAUUAAUCAUUCAAAGUACAAGUUUGAGCAAACCAGUGAUGAGGGAACACUAUUAUUACCAACCCAAAUCCUAUUACCAAUCCAAAUUAUUAUUAUCGUACCUUUAACACUAACACAUAAUUAGUGGGUGCAGUGUUUUUGCUCAAGGACACAAAAACAGUAUACAUAGCUCUUAGCUGUUAACAACCUUUCACCGGUUAUGUUAAUGGAUUUCUAUUUUCUUCCACUAAGCAGUCAUUCUAAAGAGUCAAAGGUUUGAGCUGACAAGUUAGACUAGAUGUCAUGAAGC